rnacentral:rRNA from 1 species
GAUGAACGCUAGCUACAGGCUUAACACAUGCCAGUCGAGGGGAAACGACAUUGAAGCUUGCUUCGAUGGUCGUCGACCGGCGCACGGGUGAGUAACGCGUAUCCAACCUGCCUCUGACCAAGGGAUAACCCGUCGAAAGUCGGCCUAAUACCUUAUGCAGUCGUCGGAAGUCAUCUGAUGACGAUGAAAGAUUUCAUCGGUGAGAGAUGGGGAUGCGUCUGAUUAGCUUGUUGGCGGGGUAACGGCCCACCAAGGCAACGAUCAGUAGGGGUUCUGAGAGGAAGGUCCCCCACAUUGGAACUGAGACACGGUCCAAACUCCUACGGGAGGCAGCAGUGAGGAAUAUUGGUCAAUGGGCGAGAGCCUGAACCAGCCAAGUAGCGUGCAGGAUGACGGCCCUAUGGGUUGUAAACUGCUUUUAUGCGGGGAUAAAGUGAGGGACGUGUCCUUCAUUGCAGGUACCGCAUGAAUAAGGACCGGCUAAUUCCGUG